rnacentral:RNase_P_RNA from 1 species
CGGGCUGGCCGGGCGACCGCGUGACCCCUCGCCGCGAGGCGCCGGGUCCCGAGGAAAGUCCGGGCUCCGCAGAGCAGGGUGGUGGGUAACGCCCACCCGGGGUGACCCGCGGGAAAGUGCCACAGAGAACAGACCGCCGCGCCUCCGGGCGCGGUAAGGGUGAAAAGGUGGGGUAAGAGCCCACCAGUGCGCCGGGCGACCGGCGCAGCUCGGCAAACCCCACCCGGAGCAAGACCAGACAGCACACGCCGGCCUCGGCCGAGAGGGUGGCUCGCCCGAGUGUGCGGGUAGGUCGCUGGAGGCUGUCGGCAACGGCAGCCGUAGAUGGAUGGUCGCCGGCUCCUCGGAGUCACAGAACCCGGCUUACAGGCCAGCCCGUCCC